GAGUAACGCGUGCGUGGAGCCGGGGUAGGACGUGGGGGGCAAGCGGUGUACGGAUAUAGUGGGCGUAAAGAGCGGGGAGGCGGCUUGGAAGGUCAGCUGGGAAAACUCGAGGCUCAACCUCGGGACGUCGGUUGAAACCACCUGGCUAGAGUCCGGAAGAGGAGAGUGGAAUUCCCGGUGUAGCGGUGAAAUGCGCAGAUAUCGGGAAGAACACCCGUGGCGAAGGCGGCUCUCUGGGACGGUACUGACGCUGAGACGCGAAAGCGUGGGGAGCGAACAGGAUUAGAUACCCGGGUAGUC
rnacentral:rRNA from 1 species